UACAGAGGUCUCAAGCGUUGUUCGGAUUCAUUGGGCGUAAAGGGUGCGUAGGCGGCGCGGUAAGUCGGGUGUGAAAUCUUGGAGCUUAACUCCGAAACUGCAUUCGAUACUGCCGUGCUUGAGGACUGGAGAGGAGACUGGAAUUUACGGUGUAGCUGGUGAAAUGCGUAGAUAUCGUAAGGAAGACCAGUGGCGAAGGCGGGUCUCUGGACAGUUCCUGACGCUGAGGCACGAAGGCCAGGGGAGCAAACGGG
rnacentral:rRNA from 1 species